rnacentral:rRNA from 1 species
UACGAAGGGGGCUAGCGUUGCUCGGAAUCACUGGGCGUAAAGCGCACGUAGGCGGAUUGUUAAGUCGGGGGUGAAAUCCUGGAGCUCAACUCCAGAACUGCCUUCGAUACUGGCGAUCUUGAGUCCGGGAGAGGUGAGUGGAACUCCGAGUGUAGAGGUGAAAUUCGUAGAUAUUCGCAAGAACACCAGUGGCGAAGGCGGCUCACUGGCCCGAUACUGACGCUGAGGAGCGAAAGCGUGGGGAGCGAACAGG